GAUGAACGCUGGCGGCGUGCCUAAUACAUGCAAGUCGAGCGAACAGACGAGGAGCUUGCUCCUCUGACGUUAGCGGCGGACGGGUGAGUAACACGUGGAUAACCUACCUAUAAGACUGGGAUAACUUCGGGAAACCGGAGCUAAUACCGGAUAAUAUAUUGAACCGCAUGGUUCAAUAGUGAAAGACGGUUUUGCUGUCACUUAUAGAUGGAUCCGCGCCGCAUUAGCUAGUUGGUAAGGUAACGGCUUACCAAGGCAACGAUGCGUAGCCGACCUGAGAGGGUGAUCGGCCACACUGGAACUGAGACACGGUCCAGACUCCUACGGGAGGCAGCAGUAGGGAAUCUUCCGCAAUGGGCGAAAGCCUGACGGAGCAACGCCGCGUGAGUGAUGAAGGUCUUCGGAUCGGAAAACUCUGUUAUUAGGGAAGAACAAAUGUGUAAGUAACUAUGCACGUCUUGACGGUACCUAAUCAGAAAGCCACGGCCAACUACGUG
rnacentral:rRNA from 1 species